rnacentral:rRNA from 1 species
ACUCCUACGGGAGGCAGCAGUGGGAAUAUUGGACAAUGGGGGGAACCCUGAUCCAGCCAUGCCGCGUGUGUGAAGAAGGCCUUCGGGUUGUAAAGCACUUUCAGUGGGGGAGGAAAAGGUUUGAUGGGUUAAAUACCCUAUCAGCUGUGACGUUACCCACAGAAGAAGCACCGGCUAACUCCGUGCCAGCAGCCGCGGUAAUACGGAGGGUGCAAGCGUUAAUCGGAAUUACUGGGCGUAAAGCGUGCGCAGGCGGUCUGUUAAGCGAGAUGUGAAAGCCCCGGGCUCAACC